UACCCGCUGAGUUUAAGCAUA
rnacentral:ncRNA from 2 species